rnacentral:sRNA from 15 species
UUAUAAGAAUCUAUAAAUGAAUGUGUGGGUUGGGUUCUGUUAACAUUUGACCUUACUUAGCUCACUUAGCGCGCAGAGCGGCGGUGGAGCAGUGGCAGGAUGAGCAGACAAAGCGUUGACAAUGGCACAAACAAAAGAAACAGAAAACAGACGAGCAGAUAAUGGACGUAGCGUUUGUGGGGCGAAACGGAGACGAGAGGAGACCAAUGGCAAAACGUAUUUACAUAGCUUAUACCUACUAUGUAUGGUCGGGAUAAGCUCCAUUGUUUUACGAGUAUGCAUGCAAGUAGAAACAAUGCCGGGACGAAGGAACGAGACAUUCAGAGAUGCUUCGCCUUCAGAUUGCAGAGGUUUCCAGAGAUGAAUGUGAAGGCUACACAUACAUAUAUGUACGGAAUCAAUUAGGGAACGGGUUAAAUCGGUCUUUAGGACUCGAAUCCUAUAGAUUCCUAGAAUUAAGUCAUCCAAUACUCUAGUCCAAUAACAUUUAUAUUUAAUUAAUAAUCAUUAAGAUCAUUUGAACACGUUGGAUAAAGAUAUUCCUUCCUAUUUUUUAUUUAUAUCAAUAAAAUGCGCUGAAGGAACCAAAUUUCCAUUUUAUAAUGGCAAUAUUUUCAAAUUAAAUACCAUGUAAAUAGUAUUAUAAAUUAUUUUUCAUGAAUUAUACUUUUUUCGUUUCCACAUAUAAACCUAACCAUCUUCCGCCCCUUAAUUUUUAAAUUAAAUAUGAAAGCGCUUCCCUUGAUAGCAUUUAAGUAAAUUUAAUUUGUUGGUUUUGUUGCAUGAUUUGAUGGUCUAAUACAAAUCGAACUCGUUUCGGUUUCGCGUUCGCUUCACAUAAAAAUUCCACUAAAUUAUAAAUUAAUGAACUAAUAGUAGGAUGCGGCGGCAAUCGGGCAGUCACAGUCAUGAUAA